AUGGAUGACAUACUGAUCUUUGGUACUAACAUUAAUGCGAUCAACGAGGUAAAGUCUUUUCUAUCAAAAAGUUUUGACAUGAAAGAUCUGGGAGAAGCUGAUGUAAUUCUAAACAUCAAACUUAUCAAGGAUGAUAGUGGGAUUACUCUAACGCAAUCUCACUACGUUGAGAAGGUCUUGAGCCUGUUCAGCUUUAUGGAUAGAAAGCCUUCUCCAACACCUUAUGAUCCCAGUGUGACACUCGGGAAGAACAAGAAAGAAACGAGAGAUCAAUUAAGAUACUCUCAAAUUAUCGGUUCACUCAUGUACUUAGCUAGCGCUACAAGGCCAGAUAUCUCUUUUACAGUGAGCAAACUAAGUAGGUUCAUGUCCAACCUGGGUGAUGAUCAUUGGCAUGCACUAGAAAGGGCCUUGCACUAUCUGAGAGGUAUUAUGAGUUAUGGAAUUCACUAUUCUGGGCAUCCUCCUGUGCGAGAAGGAUAUAGUGAUUCGAAUUGA
rnacentral:rRNA from 1 species